rnacentral:rRNA from 1 species
GAUGAACGCUGGCGGCAGGCUUAACACAUGCAAGUCGAACGGGCGGCGGACGGGUGAGUAAUGUCUGGACAAGUGCCUGAUGGACGGGGAUAACUACGGUAACCGGUAGCUAAUACCGCAUACCAUGCGCUGUGCCCACGGGGGAUUAGCGAGUAGGUGGGGUAAUGGCUCACCUAGGCGACGCUCCCUAGCUGGUCUGAGAGGAUGAACAGCCACACUGGAACUGAGACACGGGCCAGACUCCUACGGGAGGCAGCAGUGGGGAAUAUUGCGCAAUGGGCGAAAGCCUGAUGCAGCCAUGCCGCGUGUGUGAAGAAGGCCUUCGGGUCGUAAAGCACUUUCAGUGAGGAGGCGUUAUCCGCAGAAGAAGCACCGGCUAACUCCGUGCCAGCAGCCGCGGUAAUAC